rnacentral:sRNA from 1 species
AACUGAUCGCGAGAUCAGUCGAUAAUCUGGAAGACCAGUGGUUCGGACUCUCAGAUUAUCUCCUCAUCAGGCUAAUCACGGUUAUUUGACCCGGCUCUUGCCGGGUCUUUUUUU